UAACCACUCAAGCCUCGGCUUGGUCUUGGGGUUCGCGGUCUCGCGGCCCUUAAAAUCAGUGGCGGUGCCGUCUGGCUCUAAGCGUAGUAAUUCUCUCGCUAUAGGGUCCAGGCGAUCACCUGCCAUAACCCCCCAUUUUUUAC
rnacentral:misc_RNA from 1 species